UGGAGAUGUUUUGGAACUAGACAGACAUGGUGCUUGCACAGCCUUGCCAGUGUACUAAAUGCCCCUGAAUUGUUCACUUGAAAAUUGUUAAUUUUAUGUUCUGUGAAUUUCACAUCAAUAAGUUAUUUUUUUUCAUUGACAGGUACAUCUCAAGUAUUGGUCAGGAGCUGUGAUACACAAACGCUCCUGUACUUGCUUCUCGUUUCCCUCUUCCUCCGCUAAAGUUUGCAUAAAUGGAAUCAUGCUUUAUAUAGUCUAUAUGAACUGUUUUUGUACUCAAGAACUGUGAUUCAUCCACGUCGCUCUGCAUAGUUGCAAUAAAGUUCUCUCUGCUGUAUACUGUU